AUUCAUUGGUUACAACAUCAAUCCAAGCUCACACCGCACCACCACCAAUCAUCUUAAAGCCAUGCUAUUGUAUCAUCUUUCACAAGGUUUUAAGAUUGAUUUGGGAUCUCUAAUUUAUGAUCCCAUUUGUUUUGUGGGGUUAGUCCAAACCACAAAUAUAUAUAAAUCUUUCCCAAUCUCAUUACUGGCAUAUGUCGUACGUCGGGUGUCAGAUACCUUUCAUCUCGAUUAAUUGUCAACUACCAAAACAUAGCAGUCCAUCAAACAGUAGAGAUGGCGACGCAAUCAACGGCAAGACCAAGAAGACCCAAAGACAGAUGAUCACGUCCCACCUCCCGCAUAGCCAGAAGCCAACACCUGAUUUUUGGGUUAUUAGGCUGUUUGCUAGUCUGACAAAGAUAGAUAGGACAUUAUGGCAUAUAGGGCAAAUGAUGAUAGCUUUAUAGGCUAGAGAAGGGAGCAUGGCAAGAAUGCUAGGAUGUAGGGUAUAGAGCGAGAUAUCAGCAAGCUCUCAAGUGAGCUAUUGACUUUACAUAGGGAGCAUGACCUUAUUGGGAACAAUUAGACAGAUGCACAAGACUAGUUGAGGGCGCACACAUCAAAAAUGAGGCCAUACACAAUAGACGGAGGACAUGAAUGCAAGAAUGGAGGCCUUGUACAGCAGAUCAGAGGAUAUAUGCGAACAGGUUAACCAGAUGUGUAGUGAUUAGAGAACUUUACUCUCGAUCCACUCAUCCGCAACCAUCCACUUUGAACCCAUCUGAAUAUGGAGCUUUGACAUCAUUCUAUCCACCGCCUAUGGACUGAUUUUAAGUGGUACCUAAUCCCUUAUCUGCCCUUAUCUUUUUUUAUUGCUUAAACUAUUUUUAGACAUUGAUGGAAAUGAAUGUAUCAAGUUUGUGUGUUUGUUUCAUUGAGUUAUUUGAUUACAUUCUUCUGUGAAAAAAAAUCAGAAAAAUAGUCUAACUUUUAGUUUUAUUACUUCUUUUUUUUUUGUGGGUUUUUGCAUGCUUGUGUGGGUCAGAUAAUGUACUAACAACGAUGAAUAUAUUGGAGCAUAGAGUUUAGCUGUAAAUUAUGGAUAAAUUAUAUAUUAAGUUAGUUUAUGCUUAUUCAUAUGAAACCUGAUAUUUAUGAGCACUAGAUUUAUUUUUUGCAUUAUGAAAAAAAUUUAUUCAUAUUGAUGAGUAGGUGGAAAUUAAUGGAUCUUAGAUGCUUAACCUGAAUAACCACUAUGAUUUACAUCUUUAUACUAGUUUUAGGAUAGUUUGGGGUGAUUGAGCUGUUGUAGAAAGACAUAAAGACAGAUGUAGAUUCCAUGAGUGUUAAGUUUUGAGUUGAUAGUCUAAAACCAAUAAGAUGAAAAUUAGGUUGAAAUAUUGAGUCGGGGGUCAAUUUUUUUAAUAUGUUUUAAUAAGGGGUAGUGUACUAAUCAUUGAAAAAAAUUCAUGGUGUUGUCUUACUAUGAAGCUUUUUUCGUAGUUUUUAUGAUUUGAGUGAUUAAGCUUGCAAGGUUAUCUAAAAAUCUGAUGUCCUAUGGUCAUCUAAUUUGGGAGUCAUUAGUUGAAAUCUCGCUACAAAGGACAUUAAGAUAUCUUAAUGGAGAGGAGUCCACACAUAAGAUAAAAACAAUAAAAAAGACCAAAAAAAAAUAUUGUUAUGUCUUGACUAAGUACCAAACACGUAUUUGAGAGAAUUUGACUUUUGACAAGUGAUUGUUAGCUUAGUUGAUUUUUAGAAUUUGAAGCAAUAAAAAAUAAGAAGAAUCCUCAUCUUGAUUAAUCUUGCAUGCUUAAUUUUAUUAUUCGAUUGCUUGGUCACCAAUUGAAUAGCUUCUUGUUGUAGUGUUGGAAGGCUUAAAUAGGUCUAAAAUAUUGCUUGAUUAACAUAAGUGAAAUAAAUGUUAAGAAUAAUAUUUAACACGUGUGCAACUUUGAGAUAAUUGUGAACUUGAAUGCGUUCUAUUUAUUCGAAUUCGAAUUAGAAAUAGAUUUAAUUUGAGGCAAUGUACAACAAUGCACAACAUGUUCAGUCUAAACUUUACAAUUAGAUAUCUCACGGUGUUAAAAAUUUUAUCGAAGACCUAUUUCAAAAAUCAAUUUUUUUUAAAAAAAGGUAUAAAUUCAAUUUCUAAACAAAGAAAUUGAAGAGACAAGGAACCAAUAUGAUACACACAUAUUUUUAUCAUGGUUUUUUUUAACAAUUUUUCAAACUAUUAAAUAAAACAAAUAAUGUCUAAUAGAAAUUAUUCCGUGAAUAAUACAUCGAAAUUGCAAUGCAGGUGCCUUUGGGACAAUAAUAGACUGGUAGGUUUGUGGUGGUAGGCUGAUGAUAUUAAGAGCUGAUGGGUGCGUGGAAGGAGUUUGGCAGCUUUUGAGAAGAAAAUAUUUUUUCCACUUUCAGUUUUCUUUUUUUUGGUUCACCUUUUAUUAAAAAUUACAUGAUAAGGAUUAAGUGAAUCAACAAUUUAACGUUUGCAGAGGAUGCACCUCCUUAACAAAACAAAUGGAUGAAAGGUUACUACUGAAAUGACCUUUUGUAUAAGAAUAGAUUGAUGUGAGGAUAUAAAUGUUAAAAGUUUUAGUGAUAAUUAUCAGAGGGGACCAAUGACAAGGACGUUGUGUCUUAAUUACCC
rnacentral:lncRNA from 1 species